UUCUGGUUGAUCCUGCCGGACCUGACUGCUAUCGGAUUGAUACUAAGCCAUGCGAGUCAUUGUAGCAAUACAAGGCAUACGGCUCAGUAACGCGUAGUCAACCUAACCUAUGGACGGGAAUAACCUCGGGAAACUGAGAAUAAUGCCCGAUAGAACAUUAUACCUGGAAUGGUUUAUGUUCCAAAUGAUUUAUCGCCGUAGGAUGGGACUGCGGCCUAUCAGUUUGUUGGUGAGGUAAUGGCCCACCAAGACUAUUACAGGUACGGGCUCUGAGAGGAGUAGCCCGGAGAUGGGUACUGAGACACGGACCCAGGCCCUAUGGGGCGCAGCAGGCGAGAAAACUUUGCAAUGUGCGAAAGCACGACAAGGUUAAUCCGAGUGAUUUCUGCUAAAGAAAUCUUUUGUUAGUCCUAGAAACACUAACGAAUAAGGGGUGGGCAAGUUCUGGUGUCAGCCGCCGCGGUAAAACCAGCACCUCAAGUGGUCAGGAUGAUUAUUGGGCCUAAAGCAUCCGUAGCCGGCUCUGUAAGUUUUCGGUUAAAUCUGUACGCUUAACGUACAGGCCGCCGGGAAUACUGCAAAGCUAGGGAGUGGGAGAAGUAGACGGUACUCGGUAGGAAGUGGUAAAAUGCUUUGAUCUAUCGAUGACCACCUGUGGCGAAGGCGGUCUACUAGAACACGUCCGACGGUGAGGGAUGAAAGCUGGGGGAGCAAACCGGAUUAGAUACCCGGGUAGUCCCAGCUGUAAACUAUGCAAACUCAGUGAUGCAUUGGCUUGUGGCCAAUGCAGUGCUGCAGGGAAGCCGUUAAGUUUGCCGCCUGGGAAGUACGUACGCAAGUAUGAAACUUAAAGGAAUUGGCGGGGGAGCACCACAAGGGGUGAAGCCUGCGGUUCAAUUGGAUUCAACGCCGGG
rnacentral:rRNA from 1 species